rnacentral:lncRNA from 1 species
UUUCAAUUAAAUUCCAAAAAUAAUUUUACCCUAUUUUAUCAUUAUUUUUAUUUUUAUUUUUAUUAAAUUAAAUUAAAAUCUUAUAAAUUAAAUAUUAAAAAAUUAAACUAAAAUUCUAAUAUAAAUUAAGAUAAAUUAAAAAUUAAAAAUAAUAAAUUUGGGUGUUACAACUCUCCCCCCUUAAAGAAAUUUGGUCCCCCAAAUUUGCCUCUUACUCUUGGUCGAACAAAUGGG